CAUUUUUUGCUUAAUUAGUAUAAAAUAUUGAAUUUUAAGUAAGAUAUUCGAAAGUUUAUUAAAGUUGCUACAAUAUACAUACAUAUACUACACAUAUUUAACGUAACAUAAUAGCUAAAAUAUAUGUGCCAAACAUUAGCAAAAGGGGUCUCAAUACCAUAGGUCCUCGUUAAUUCGUUAGUCGUUAUUCGGUAGUUUUUUACAUGUAUUUUGUUUUUGUAAAAUUAACAGACUAUCGUUCUACCGAGUAACGAACUAUCAAUCUGGCAAGUUUGAUAAUUGUUUCGUUACUCGGUAAUAUCACAUCAGCUGUUUGUUUGUUGUUCGUUUCUUUAUACAUUUUUAAACGGGAAAAUAAAUUUGGUGAUCACUUCGCGAUUUCACAAAAAAUUUUGCAAAAUGGAACCUCAAAAGAAAAUACGCAGGAGGGCAAAGUCUCAAAAAAAAAAUGGAGUGAGGAAGGAAAUCAUUUACUUCCAGAAUAUUUACUAGAAAAUGUGGAAAUUGAGAAACCAAACGCCCAAUUGUACUACCAAAAAUUAAUUGAAACAAUAAAUAUCGAUGCGACUACGGACAUGUUGCGCUGCAAGGUCCGGUACUGGAAGCAGAUGUAAAAUAAAGCUCGCGCAAAUCGACAGGUGCUGGAAUAGAUGUUGGCGAUGAAACUUCCACAAUAAAAGCAAAACUUUCACAAAGUUGUGUUGUAGAGACGCGUUACAAGUGUUACGAGUGUUACAAUAUUGCAGCAAUUUUGCAGACAUUCUAGAGGUAGUGGCAAUUGCAGCCGAAUCAUCACAAUCAUAUGCGGAACCAUCGGGUUCACUUAACGAAAAAGCAGAACAGACAACAGUAGGAGCAGAGGUAGCAACAGUUCCUUCUCCCACUCCCUCGAUCCUCGAAAAAGGGAAAAAACGUGCUCCUAAGAAUUAGAAUUAGUGAAUUUAAAGAUAUGCGAAAGAAAUGAGAACAGUUUUUUGAGCAACGAAAAGAAAAGUUUAAUUUGGAGAAGUUAAACCUAGAAUUUGACAGUGAAAAGUUAAAUAAAGAUUUUGAAAUAAAAAAAUUGGAGUUAGAGCAAAAAGAAAUACUGGCAAUGAUUGAACUAAAGUACAAAUAUAAUAUACAUAUAACAAUUGUAUAUGUUUUGUAAUAUAAUAAUUUUUAAGAUUGUACAAAUGUAUUUACAUAAAUGCGAUAUCUUGAAGUGAUACAACUUUUUAUAUGCAUAUAAAAAUGAAAAAAAUAAUUUUUGAUUUAAUUAUAAUUUUUAAUU